rnacentral:rRNA from 1 species
CCAGCCAUGCCGCGUGCAGGAAGACGCAUCUAUGGUGUGUAAACUGCUUUUGUACGGGAAGAAACACUCCCUCGUGAGGGAGCUUGACGGUACCGUAAGAAUAAGGAUCGGCUAACUCCGUGCCAGCAGCCGCGGUAAUACGGAGGAUCCAAGCGUUAUCCGGAAUCAUUGGGUUUAAAGGGUCCGUAGGCGGUUUGGUAAGUCAGUGGUGAAAGCCCAUCGCUUAACGAUGGAACGGCCAUUGAUACUGCCAGACUUGAAUUACUAGGAAGUAACUAGAAUAUGUAGUGUAGCGGUGAAAUGCUUAGAUAUUACAUGGAAUACCAAUUGCGAAGGCAGGUUACUACUAGUGGAUUGACGCUGAUGGACGAAAGCGUGGGGAGCGAACAGGAUUAGAUACCCUGGUAGUCCACGCCGUAAACGAUGGAUACUAGCUGUUCGGAGUAAACUGAGUGGCUAAGCGAAAGU